rnacentral:tRNA from 1 species
AGAAGAAAAACCAAACAGAGGUGAAUUUUUGUUAAUAAUUUUAUUGGGCUCCCCUUCUUCUA